CAGUCGCCGCGGGAAUACGAAGGGGGCUAGCGUUGCUCGGAAUGACUGGGCGUAAAGGGCGCGUAGGCGGUUUUGACAGUCAGAUGUGAAAUUCCUGGGCUUAACCUGGGGGCUGCAUUUGAGACGUCAAGACUAGAGUGUGAGAGAGGGUUGUGGAAUUCCCAGUGUAGAGGUGGAAUUCGUAGAUAUUCGGAAGAACACCAGUGGCGAAGGCGGCUUACUGGCUCAUACUGGACGCUGAGGUGCGAAAGCGUGGGGAGCAAACAGGAUUAGAUACCCGAGUAGUCCCUGUCUCUUAUAC
rnacentral:rRNA from 1 species